GUCACUUUAAACAUUUCUCAGAUGUAAAUGGAAAUCUAAUAAAAUCUGUGAAAGGUAUUUUUAAAACAGCUUUAUUGAGGUGUGAUUUACAUACCAUAAAAUCCACCCACUUCCAGCAAUUUCAGUGAUCCACCCACGACUCAAUGAUUUCAGCGCAACCAUCACCACCCUCCAAUUUUAGAAAUUUCCAUCACCUCGAAGUCCCCUCGCAGCCAUGAGCAGUCACUUCCUCUUCCCACCCCCAGCCCUAAGCAAACUCUAACCUGCUUUCCGCCUUGAUAGAUUUGCCUUUUUUGGAAAUUCCGCAUAAAUAGAAUCAUACAACUGGUAGUCUUUGGUGUCUGGCUGCUCUCACUGAGCAUAAUCCUUUGAGGUUGGUCCACACUGUAGCAUCAUGGGUGGGUAGUUCUUAUAAUUCUCUCCCAUUGUACGGCAAAGCCAUAUUUUGUUUAGCCAUUCACCAGCUGAUGGACGUUCGAGCCGUUUCCAUAUUUUGGCUGUUAUUAAUAAAGCUGCUAUGAACAUCCAGGUAGAAUUGUUUAUGGUUUUUUGUUUUUGCGACAGGAUCUAGCUGUCACCCAGGCUGGAGUGCCAUGGCAUGAUCAUGGCUCACUGCAGCCUCUACCUCCUGAGCUCAAGCGAUUCUCUGGCACCAGCCACCUCCUGAGUAGCCAGGGCUACAGGCGAGCACAACCACACCGGGCUAAUUUUUUUUUUUUUUUAGUAGAGACGAGGUCUUACUCUGUUGCUCAAGUGAAGGUACAAUUCCUUGUGUGGACAUAUGUUGUCAUUUCUCUCAGGUGGAGACAUAGGAAUGGCAUUGUUAGGUCAGACGGUAAAUAUACAUUUUACUUGUGAAGAAAUUGGCUAUACUUUUUUUAAAUUUUUUUAUUUUUUUUUAAGACGGAGUCUCACUCUGUUGCCCAGGCUGGAGUGCAAUGGCUUGAUCUCAGCUCACUGCAACCUCCGCCUCCUGGGUUCAAGUGAUUCUCCUGCCUCAGCCUCCUGAGUAGCUGGGAUUACAGGCGCCUGCCACAAUGACCAGCUACUUUUCUUUCUUUUUUUUUUUUCUUUUUUUUUGAGACAGAGUCUCCCUCUGUCACUCAGACUGGAGUGCAGUGGUGUGAUCUCAGCUCACUGCAAACCCCUGCCACCCGGGUUCAAGCAGUUCUCCUGCCUCAGCCUCCGGAGUAGCUGAGAUUACAGGCAUGCACCACCACACCCAGCUAAUUUUUGUAUUUUUAGUAGAGACAGGGUUUCGCCAUGUUGACCAGGCUGGUCUUGAACUCCUGACCUCAAGUGAUCCGACCGCCUCGGCUUCCCAAAGUGCUGGGAUUACAGGUGUGAGCCACCAUGCCUGGCGGCUAUACGUUUUUCAUAUGUCUGAAACGUAUGAAGUUUCCAGUGUUCCCAUGCCCUUGUCACCCCUUCUUCUUAUCGCCCUUUUUUGUUACACACAAGUGUGUGAAGUGGUAACCCACUGGGCGUUUUCCCUGCCGCCCUUUGCAGAGCAGGGCUGACCCACAGGCACGUGCCAGAGCGGGCUCCCACGGGCUUUGAUUUGAAUUUUCCCAGUAGUUAAUGAUGUUGAGCAUCUCGUCAUGUGUUUAAAAGACAAAGCCAUUUAUGUACCUUCUUUGUUGAGAUGUCUAAUAAAAUUUUUGCCUUCUUUUUU
rnacentral:lncRNA from 10 species